CGAACGGGUGAGUAAUACAUAAGUAACCUGCCCUAGACAGGGGGAUAACUAUUGGAAACGAUAGCUAAGACCGCAUAGGUACGGACACUGCAUGGUGACCGUAUUAAAAGUGCCUCAAAGCACUGGUAGAGGAUGGACUUAUGGCGCAUUAGCUGGUUGGCGGGGUAACGGCCCACCAAGACUACGAUGGAUAGGGGUUCUGAGAGGAAGGUCCCCCACAUUGGAACUGAGACACGGUCCAGACUCCUACGGGAGGCAGCAUG
rnacentral:rRNA from 1 species